AGCAGAGCGUGAAGUUCUCUCUGAUAUGAUUUUAUGGAAAACUGAAAAAAAAAGGACCAUAAAUGGAAGUGCCAGUAAAAUUACUGGAGCAAUGCACUGUGUCAAGCUAUGAAAUACAGGAAUUACUGUAAGGUUUCCCUCAUAAUGCCAUAAAUCUUUUUGGGUUCACUGGAAUCUGCAGCUAAGUACUUUAUUAAAUUCAUGUUCACUAAACACAUUAAACCCCUGUGAGUUUGAGUGGCUGAGCUUCACUCUAUGCAAUGACCAACCCUUCAUAAAUCAAUGUUCUGAGAUAUACUCUAGAAGGUUGUAUAAAUAAUAAGUGAAAGUCAGAAGAAUUUUAUGUCAGGAAGAAAGUAUGUCUGGACCCUCUGAAUUUCAUAGAAAUUAAGUCUAAACUAAAGAAAAUAUUAGUUUGACUUACAUGAGCUUUGCCACAGCAAUAUAAAAAUGAAAGGAGUUUUUAAAUCCAACGUAGCUAAGUCUACACGCAUACCCUGCCAGUAGUCAAAGACUUCUGACUUGUGAAUAUGAGAUUGUUUUGGAGGAACUCACAACAAUGUGAAGUUUCCAGUACUAAUUUCAGUUACCUAAAAGCCAGUCAGAGCACGCUAAGAUGGAUCCACCCACCCAGAGGGAUCAGUGGCAUAGCUUGGAUUUGUUCUUAUGAUCAUUCAUGCUGAUUUAUUUUCCACACAGAGAAAAGACUGGAAUACGGCAGCACUGUAUCAGUUUGUCACUGUAGCUAACUUGCACUGCAAGGUUUGAAAACUGUGGCCAAGGGUUUUUUUAUUUCAAGUGUGGAUAGAAGUCAGCAAGGCUCUUCUAAACUAUGGGGUAAGCACUUAUGUCUGUCAGGUUCACAGCAUACAGAGCAAAAGCAGCAAUGGAAAAAUGCAAAAGCUAAUGACAGCAUAGCGAUUUUUUCUCAUCGGCUAACACUUCUGUAUUUACACAUCACUACAGUAAACAUUAUCACCUUUCUGUUUUUCCUAGGGUAGACAAUGUAAAGUUUUAAUGCAAUUCACUUCUCCAUAGACAAAACUGGAAAGCUGUUAUGUCAUACACAAGUCUAAGUAUCUAAAAUGCAAAUCAAGUUUAGUAUUAUUUAAAAAAAAACAAAACAAAACAAAGUUUUCCGAGUGUGAGGUCGCACUGG
rnacentral:lncRNA from 7 species